rnacentral:rRNA from 1 species
AGCUCCAAUAGCGUAUAUUAAAGUUGUUGCAGUUAAAAAGCUCGUAGUUGGAUCUCGGGGACCGGCGGGCGGUUCGCCUCGCGGCGCUGACUGCCCGCUCCGGCCCUACUUGCCGGGUCUUCACGGGUGCCCUUGGUUGGGUGCUCGGCGGAGGCUGGGACGUUUACUUUGAAAAAAUUAGAGUGCUCAAGGCAGGCUUUGCGCCUGAAUAAUGCUGCAUGGAAUAAUGGAAUAGGAUCUCGGUCCUAUUUUGUUGGUUUUCUGGACCAGAGAUAAUGAUUAAGAGGGACAGACGGGGGCAUUCGUAUUGCGGUGUUAGAGGUGAAAUUCUUGGAUCGCCGCAAGACGGACGACUGCGAAAGCAUUUGCCAAGAAUGUUUUCA